rnacentral:rRNA from 1 species
UACAGAGGGGGCAAGCGUUGUUCGGAAUUACUGGGCGUAAAGGGCGCGUAGGCGGCCUUCUAAGUCGAACGUGAAAUCCCCGGGCUCAACCCGGGAACUGCGUCCGAUACUGGAAGGCUUGAAUCCGGGAGAGGGAUGUGGAAUUCCAGGUGUAGCGGUGAAAUGCGCAGAUAUCAGGAGGAACACCGGUGGCGAAGGCGGGUCUCUGGGCCGAUACUGACGCUGAGGAGCGAAAGCGUGGGGAGCGAACAGG